rnacentral:rRNA from 1 species
ACAGCAGCCGCCGCGGUAAUACGUAUGUCACAAGCGUUAUCCGGAUUUAUUGGGCGUAAAGCGCGUCUAGGUGGUUAUGUAAGUCUGAUGUGAAAAUGCAGGGCUCAACUCUGUAUUGCGUUGGAAACUGUGUAACUAGAGUACUGGAGAGGUAAGCGGAACUACAAGUGUAGAGGUGAAAUUCGUAGAUAUUUGUAGGAAUGCCGAUGGGGAAGCCAGCUUACUGGACAGAUACUGACGCUAAAGCGCGAAAGCGUGGGUAGCAAACAGGAUUAGAUACCCCUGUAGUCCCUGUCUCUUAUACC